GAUGAACGCUAGCUACAGGCUUAACACAUGCAAGUCGAGGGGAAACGACAUCGAAAGCUUGCUUUUGAUGGGCGUCGACCGGCGCACGGGUGAGUAACGCGUAUCCAACCUGCCCAUCACUUGGGUAUAACCUUGCGAAAGUAAGACUAAUACCCAAUGAUAUCCCACGAAGGCAUCGGAAUGGGAUUAAAGAUUUAUCGGUGAUGGAUGGGGAUGCGUCUGAUUAGCUUGUUGGCGGGGUAACGGCCAACCAAGGCAACGAUCAGUAGGGGUUCUGAGAGGAAGGUACCCCACAUUGGAGCUGAGACACGGUCCAAACUCCUACGGGAGGCAGCAGUGAGGAAUAUUGGUCAAUGGGCGAGAGCCUGAACCAGCCAAGUAGCGUGCAGGAAGACGGCCCUAUGGGUUGUAAACUGCUUUUAUAAGGGAAUAAAGUGGGUCACGUGUGACUUUUUGCAUGUACCUUAUGAAUAAGGACCGGCUAAUUCCGUG
rnacentral:rRNA from 1 species